AGAAAACACUGAGAGAGAAAGGACAAUGACCCAACACACCUCCAGGCUGUGUAAGGGCUAUUGACCAAGAAGGAGAGUGAUGGAGUGCUGCAUCAGAUGACAUGGCCUCCACAAUCACCUGACCUCAACCCAAUUGGGAUGGUGUGGAAUGAGUUGGACCGCAGAGUGAAGGUAAAGCAGCCAACAAGGGCUCAGUAUAUGUGGGAACUCCUUCAAGACUGCUGUUGGAAAAGCAUUCCAGGUGAAGAUGGUUGAGAGAAUGCCAAGAGCGUACAAAGCUGUCAUCAAGGCAAAGGAUAAAAAUUUACUGGAAACUGAUUUGCUUUGGAUAAGAAAGAUCUCAAAGAUACGCUCUAUGUACUCUAGGAACUGGACGACUUGCCUUAAUAGAUGGAACCAAGAAUUCUGCUCUGUAUCAGAGAAUUCUACAGGAGAUUGUCAGGCCAUCCGUCUGUGAGCUAUAGCUGAAGAGCAGCUGGGUAAUGCAGCAAGACAAUGAUCCAAAACACACAAUCAAGUCUACAUGAAAUACCUGAAAAGCAACACAUUUGAACUUUUGGAAUGGCCCAGUCAAUGUCCAGACCUCAUCCCACAAUUGAGAUGUGGAAAGACUUGAAACAAGCAGCUCAUGCUUGAAAACCCACAAAUGGUGGCUGGGUUAAAUUAGUUCUGCAUGGAAGUGUGGGCCAUAAUUCCUCCAAAGCAACGAGAAAGACAACUACAGGAAGUGUUUGGUUGGAGUCAUUGUAGCUAAAAGGUGGCACAACCAGUUAUUAAGUAUAAGGGGGCAAUUACUUUUUCACACAGGGGCAUUGGGUGUUGCAUAACUUUGUUAUGAAAUAAAUCAAAUAAGUAU